CCCCGGGACAGGGGGGCGUGCGCGUCCCCUCCGCUCCCCUCCCCCCCGGCCGGGCUCUCCUGGCUCCCCGAGGCGGGAGUUUCCAGGAAGAGCUCAGAGAGCGGCCGCACCACCGAGCGCACGGAGACAUCAAGUAGUCCCUCAGAGCGACCUUAUUAGAGAAUUCUAGCUGCCAGGGGCAGUCAGAGUCGCAACGCCGAAGAGAUAGGGGGUGACAGCCGGCCUGAGGGCCUCAGGGAAAGAGGUCCGAGCUCCCACUUUGCAUUGCCGGAGAAAGACGUGUGGGGGAGGCGGAACGAGUUCCGGCGGAGGGCUCGGGCGCGCCCGGUGGAGUGAAGCGCCGCGCAGUCGAAGCGCUCACGGAGUUGAAGUGGGCGGGAAAACCCGGAACGGACUCUCCCUGACACGCCCAGGACCUCCCGUCCCAUUUUUCGUGGGGGAGGGGACGAAAAAAAGCAACGGAGAGAAACGUGUUUCCUUUCCCGGCUACCUAAACCCCCACUGGAGAAAAAAGUGACGACCCGCCACCACGGGAAGCCACGGUACAUUCACCAAGCCUUCUAAAGAUGACUUCUGGCUGCUGCUACUGACUCCAUUCUUUGCGGGAUCCUGGAGAGAGAGACAGAGCAUGAGCAUAGGAGGAGCAGAGCGGAGGAGGAGCAGAGCAAGAGAGGGACACAGAAUUGGAAGCAGGCUCCAGGCUCCGAGGGAGCUUCCAGCCCAGAGCCCGCCAAGGGGCUCAAACUCACAAGCUGUGAGAUCAUGACCUGAGCCGAAGUCGGCCGCUCAACUGACUGAGCCACCCAGGUGCCCCAUACUAUUCUUUUGUUGUU